GAGUGAACCAAGAGUGAAAUGAAAAAAAAAACAAAAGAAAAAAAAUGGAAUGUCUGAAUUGGAACUCAAAAUGCCGAAAAAAGAAUAAAGUGAUGGAGAGAAAAAUAACGAAAGAAAAAAAAAUAUGUCUAAAAAAAAUUAAAAUUAAAUUUCGGACGGACAGAAAAUACUAAUGUUCACAAAUUGAAAAUGAACCAAAAUAUCUUCGAUGCCAAUUAAUUAAGUGUACUAUGGUGAAGAUUAAAAAUGAUUUUGUGUCGCGGUGGAAAGAAAAUAAAAAUUAUGUGAAUGCGAUCGAAAAAGGGAAGUUGCAAUAAAAAUCGAAACCAAAACAAAUUGGUUGGUGACUCCGUGAGUGGUGUAAACGAGUUAAAUGACCUGAUUAGUAAAAGUGAAAAGAGAAAGUUACUGCUAAAUAUUAAAAAGUUCAAUGAAAAGGAAAACUUAAAAUGUCAACAAAAAUGAGUGAUUGCGAAUAAAUGCUAAAGUUUACAAAUCGACAUCGGCAACAAAAAAAAAACAAAGUGAAGUGAAAAAUCAAUAAAAAAUGAAAGUUCAAGGACCACAGCCCAAAGAGGACCACAAGGACCACCAGGACCACAGUCCAAAGCCCUCAGCCAAGCUGAAGAAUGGCCAUCCAGCAGAGCUAAUCAGAUAAGCGCUGAAUAAGUGUAGCCCACUAAUACUAAAGCCGCUUCAAAUCCUUACACGGCACGUCUAGCUUGCCACGUCGAGAGAGGGAACUUAGGAUGACUCCAACUAAAAGGACAGGCCUCGCCCUCGGAACCCUAUGGACCGUCACACAAGGCGCAGCUGAAUAAACCCGGAAACAGGCCAGAACCAGGGCUAAGGCUUAGCAGAUGGUGACUGUAGAUGAUGAUGGACCCUCCGCUGAACUGUCCGUCCGUACGUGUAUAUCUGUUUGUAAGUAAGUGGAAAAGAAAUAUAGGGUACUGAAACAAAAGGCAGUCAGGUCUGGAUUCUGUCUGUCCACAGUAAAAAAUGUGAUCAACCGUCUGCAUAGGGUUCUUUACAUGGACAUGUCGGUGUGAGCAUGCCAGUUUUCUGCGCCUCCCACGAUGACUGGAGGGGUGAUGGUGACUGGACGUGUUCAGUGACCGACUGGAUGGUUAUAUAGUUGUAGAUUUCAUUCGUAUUUCGUAGGUUUAAAAAUUCAUUAGCUUGUAGGUAUUUUUCAUGAUUUCGCAGAUAGUUGUAAGUCUUUAUUUUUUAUACCCUCCACCAUAAGAUGGGGGGUAUACUAAUUUCGUCAUUCUGUUUGUAACUACUCGAAAUAUUCGUCUGAGAACCCAUAACGUAUAUAUAUUCUUGAUCGUCGCGACAUUUUAUGUCGAUCUAGCCAUGUUCGUCCGUCCGCCCGUCUGUCUGUCGAAAGUACGCUAACUUCCGAAGGAGUAAAGCUAGCCGCUUGAAAUUUUGCACAAAUACUUCUUAUUAGUAUAGGUCGGUUGGUAUUGUAAAUGGGCCAUAUCGGUCCAUGUUUUGAUAUAGCUGCCAUAUAAACCGAUCUUGGGUCUUGACUUCUUGAGCCUCUAGCGAGCGCAAUUCUUAUCCGAUCAGAAUGAAAUUUUGCAAGACGUGUUUUGUUACGAUAUCCAACAACUGUGCCAAGUAUGUUUAAAAUCGGUUCAUAACCUGAUAUAGCUGCCAUAUAAACCGAUCUUGGGUCUUGACUUCUUGAGCCUCUAGAGUGCGCAAUUCUUAUCCGAUUGAAAUGAAAUUUUGCACGACCUGUUUUGUUAUUAUAUCCAACAACUGUGCCAAGUAUGGUUUAAAUCGGUCCAUAACCUGAUAUAGCUGCCAUAUAAACCGAUCUUGGGUCUUGACUUCUUGAACCUCUAGAAGGCGCAAAUCUUAUCCGAUUGGAAUGAAAUUUUGCACGACGUGUUUUGUUAUGAUACCCAACAACUGUGCUAAGUAUGGUUCAAAUCGGUCCAUAACCUGAUAUAGCUGCCAUAUAAACCGAUCUUGGGUCUUGACUUCUUGAGCCUCUAGAGGGCACAAUUCUUAUCCGAUUUGAAUGAAUUUUUGCACGAAGUAUUUCGUUAUGAUAACCAACAACUGUGCCAAGUAUGGUUGAAAUCGGUCCAUAACCUGAUAUAGCUGUCAUAAAACAGAUCUGAGGAUUUGACUUCUUGAGCUUCUAGAGGGCGCAAUUCCUAUCCGAUUUGGCUGAAAUUUUGCAUGACGUAUUUUAUUUUUACUUUCAACAACUGUGUCAAAUAAGGUUCAAAUCGGUUCAUUCCUUGAUAUAGCUGCCAUAUAAACCGAUCUGGGAUCUUGACUUCUUGACCCCUAGAGGUCGCAAUUAUUAUCCGAUAUGCCUGAAAUUUUGUACGACGGAUCCUCUCAUGACCAUCAACAAACGUGUUUAUUAUGGUCUGAAUCGGUCUAUAGCCCGAUACAGAUUCCAUAUAAAUCGUUCUCUCUAUUUUACUUCGUGAGCCCCAAUGGGCGCAAUUCUUAUACGAGUUGGCGGAAAUUUUACACAGGUCUCCAACAUAUAAUUUAAUUGUGGUCCGAACCGGACCAUAUCUUGAUAUCGUUUUAAUAGCAGAGCAACUCUUUUCUUAUAUCCUUUUUUGCCUAAGAAGAGAUGCCGGGUAAAGAACUCGACAAAUGCGAUCCAUGGUGGAGGGUAUAUAAGAUUCGGCCCGGCCGAACUUAGCACGCUUUUACUUGUUUAUCUUUUCAAUUAGUUUGUAAACUUUAUUUUUUUACUUUAGCUUGCAAGAUUUUAUAUUAUUUAUCUUUUAAGCUCACAUUAAGGUUUUUAAGUUCAAACGAUUUAUCACACUCUUGGUUCUUUUGCCGUGUACAUUAGUGACGUCAUACACCGUCCAUUAGUCGCACAAAAUAUAGUUCAUAAAAACAACAAA